rnacentral:rRNA from 1 species
ACAGCUCAGUAACACGUAGUCAACAUGCCCAAAGGACGUGGAUAACCUCGGGAAACUGAGGAUAAACCGCGAUAGGCCAAGGUUUCUGGAAUGAGCCAUGGCCGAAAUCUAUAUGGCCUUUGGAUUGGACUGCGGCCGAUCAGGCUGUUGGUGAGGUAAUGGCCCACCAAACCUGUAACCGGUACGGGCUUUGAGAGAAGGAGCCCGGAGAUGGGCACUGAGACAAGGGCCCAGGCCCUAUGGGGCGCAGCAGGCGCGAAACCUCUGCAAUAGGCGAAAGCUUGACAGGGUUACUCUGAGUGAUGCCCGCUAAGGGUAUCUUUUGGCACCUCUAAAAAUGGUGCAGAAUAAGGGGUGGGCAAGUCUGGUGUCAGCCGCCGCGGUAAUACCAGCACCCCGAGUUGUCGGGACGAUUAUUGGGCCUAAAGCAUCCGUAGCCUGUUCUGCAAGUCCUCCGUUAAAUCCACCUGCUUAACGGAUGGGCUGCGGGGGAUACUGCAGAGCUAGGAGGCGGGAGAGGCAAACGGUACUCAGUGGGUAGGGGUAAAAUCCUUUGAUCUACUGAAGACCACCAGUGGCGAAGGCGGUUUGCCAGAACGCGCUCGACGGUGAGGGAUGAAAGCUGGGGGAGCAAACCGGAUUAGAUACCCGGGUAGUCCCAGCUGUAAACGAUGCAGACUCGGUGAUGGGUUGGCCUCGAGCCAACCCAGUGCCGCAGGGAAGCCGUUAAGUCUGCCGCCUGGGGAGUACGGUCGCAAGACUGAAACUUAAAGGAAUUGGCGGGGGAGCACCACAAGGGGUGAAGCCUGCGGUUCAAUUGGAGUCAACGCCGGGAAUCUUACCGGGGGCGACAGCAGAGUGAAGUCAAGCUGAAGACUUUACCAGACAGCUGAGAGAGUGCAUGGCCGUCGCAGCUCGUGCGUGAGUGUCUGUAGUCAGUACGAGCAGAUCCCUGCCUCUAGUGCUACCACUGCCUCCUCAGGAGCAGAA